AAAAACAACAUUGGACACUAGUGAAGUGAAGUUGCCAGCAUAAUGCUGAGUAAACUACGGCAAGCCUUUGUUAACCCUAGUGUUGUAAUAAUGAGGUUCAGCAUUUGUUUUUUAAAAUUUCAAAAUCUGCGGUCUUUUAACAGAUGUUGGGCUUAGUUCAGUGUCCUUCACAGUGACGACUUUCCUUUCCAGUAGGUUACGUGUGCCAUGAUUGAGGAUCUGCCUGUGUUCUUCAAUGAAUGGACAGAAAUGUAGAUCCAGAGAAAAAUGUGCCUGUAAGUUCCUCACUAUUUUGGAAAUUGCCAAGUGGUUACUGUAGUGGAUUAUAGUAUUGUUUGCAAUUAUUUGUCCCUUCUUCUUUAAAAGGAUUAUCCAUCCCUGCCUUAGACCCCUUAUAGAUAGGUAAAUAUAUUUCCCUGACUCCCUGUCAGGCUUGGUCAUUGGUCAUGUGAUUUUCAUUAGCCAAUGACAUGUGAGUAGACAAGGUAUAUGCCACUUAGGAGCAGAAGCUUUAAAUGUGAUGGUGUGAUUCUGCUUGGUCUCUUGCUCUUCUGCCCUCAUACAAGAGAAAAGAAUUUCCCAGAUAGGAGCUGCUCCUUCAGCUGCAUCCUGGGAUGAGAAAAUAGCUGCGACAGCAGACUCAUAGCCUGCAUGUCUCAUGAGGAAGAAAUAAAUGGAUGAUGUAAGCCACUGAGGUUUUGGGGGAUUGUUUGUUAUGCAGUGAAGCUGACUAAUACAGUUGCACAAGAUUUUGCUGAGAUUUGCACAGAUAAAACAAGGUAGGAUGUUAGUGCAAGAAGAUGUUAUAUUUCCAACUGGUAAAGGGCUAGUUUAUAAACAUGAAAGAACACAUAGCUUACAUAACAUUUGUUGGAGAAUAUGCCCUAGAAAAUCAUGACAUCACAGAUAUACACUAAAUAUCUGAAGGCAAUUAACAAGAAACAUUUCCAGCAGAUGAGUUCUUUAAUAAAGACAGAGCUUGUUUCAGAAUUGGUAUCUUCCUGAAUAUUUGGCUGCUUGGAAAAAGUUAUGUUGGUGCCGGGAUUCAGCCCUGGCCUGGACAGAGGUGGCCACUAGAGUCAUUAGCAUGGACAUCGGCACCAGUGACUACGUAGGUCCCAGGAUCGUAGCCAGCUGCCUCCGGAGAUCACUUGAGAGGUGCAGAGACUGUGGGGCAGCCCCUCAUUCUUGUCUGAGACAGUGAUGCCCUCCCCACUGAGGAAUUACGCACAGUUAGCAGAGCUCUGAAAUGAAUGGCUUCAUUUAAUGAAAUCACAAAAGAAAGAAUACCAGCAAGACCACCCAGGCCCCAGCUCCAGUUUUUCCUGAAGAAUCUAGCCGCAUCUCCCUUUUUGAAGGCAGAGUUUCAUCUUGCCCCAGGGAGAAGCAACUUCCUGGGCAUGCCUGUUAAGAGACAAAAAUGGUGACGUGUGGUCACUACUCCACCAGAAAACGGAAGAAAGCCUCAGAGGGCCCUGCCUGGACCUUCCCCUAACCACACUCUGCAUGCUCCAUUCCAAAGGGUAAGGCGGGCACUGUGCAUGCAGGAAACCCACCCUGUAUGGGAAGACUCCUGGGAAAGAGGCAAGCCUAUAAAGUCCCAGGAUCAAGGUUAAAGACCCUCUUUUUUUUAACUGUCUUCUUUAGCUCUCUUUUCUCUCUUGGACCUUCAGGCGCCUGCUUGGGUCUCUUUCAAGCGAAUUUUCCUUUCUUUCCUGUUCUAAAGCCUUUUAACUAAACUUCCACUCCUGCUCUGAAACUUGCCCGCUCUCUUUUUCUGCCUCAUGCCCCUCAGUCAAAUUCUUUCUUCUGAGGAGGUAGGGACUGAAGUUCCUGCGGACCCAUAGGGAUUCUCUGCUGCUAACUCGGGGUGACUCGGGUCUCCUCCCCUGCUGACAUAUGUAGCAAGUCCUGUCCUGGGCUGGCAGGCACCACGGCUGACACCACAUGUGCAGAGAGAGGGGGAAGACCAGGCAGUGACUCACGACAUCACCCUCCUCUCUGGAAGUCAAGAUGUAGGUCUUGUCAGGUGCCCUGCAGUCUUCAGCACUGGUCACAGCCAGAGCCCCUGCAAUGCAAACCAGGAUGAGGGAAAGCCGCCGGAAGACGCCUACAGCGUUUUUUAUUAGUAAAUCCAGAGAACGUGUUAUAUAGAGUGUAUGGCAACCACCA